rnacentral:rRNA from 1 species
CGCUGAUAGAUAGGCAUGCGUUCCAUUAGGCAGUUGGCGGGGUAACGGCCCACCAAACCGACGAUGGAUAGGGGUUCUGAGAGGAAGGUCCCCCACAUUGGUACUGAGACACGGACCAAACUCCUACGGGAGGCAGCAGUGAGGAAUAUUGGUCAAUGGGCGUAAGCCUGAACCAGCCAAGUCGCGUGAGGGAUGAAGGUUCUAUGGAUCGUAAACCUCUUUUAUAAGGGAAUAAAGUGCGGGACGUGUCCCGUUUUGUAUGUACCUUAUGAAUAAGGAUCGGCUAACUCCGUGCCAGCAGCCGCGGUAAUACGGAGGAUCCGAGCGUUAUCCGGAUUUAUUGGGUUUAAAGGGUGCGUAGGCGGCCUUUUAAGUCAGCGGUGAAAGUCUGUGGCUCAACCAUAGAAUUGCCGUUGAAACUGGGAGGCUUGAGUAUGUUUGAGGCAGGCGGAAUGCGUGGUGUAGCGGUGAAAUGCUUAGAUAUCACGCAGAACCCCGAUUGCGAAGGCAGCCUGCCAAGCCAUGACUGACGCUGAUGCACGAAAGCGUGGGGAUCAAACAGGAUUAGAUACCCUGGUAGUCCACGCAGUAAACGAUGAUCACUAGCUGUUUGCGAUACAGUGUAAGCGGCACAG